GACGAACGCUGGCGGCGUGCUUAACACAUGCAAGUCGAACGGAAAGGCCCUGCUUUUGUGGGGUGCUCGAGUGGCGAACGGGUGAGUAACACGUGAGUAACCUGCCCUUGACUUUGGGAUAACUUCAGGAAACUGGGGCUAAUACCGGAUAGGAGCUCCUGCUGCAUGGUGGGGGUUGGAAAGCUUCGGCGGUUGGGGAUGGACUCGCGGCUUAUCAGCUUGUUGGUGGGGUAGUGGCUUACCAAGGCUUUGACGGGUAGCCGGCCCGAGAGGGUGGCCGGCCACAUGGCGACUGGGAUAGGGCCCAGACUCCUACGGGAGGCAGCAGGGGAGAAUAUUGCCCAAUGGGCGGAAGCCUGAUGCAGCAACGCCGCGUGCGGGAUGACGGCUUUCGGGUUGUAAACCGCUUUCGCCUGUGACGAAGCGUGAGUGACGGUAAUGGGUAAAGAAGCACCGGCUAACUACGUG
rnacentral:rRNA from 1 species